rnacentral:lncRNA from 1 species
UUACUUUUUCCUCUCAUAUCUCAACAAAUUAUUAUAUUCUGGUAGCCUAUCUCUUCAUUUUUUUCUAACAAAUUGAUCAUUUUGUCAUUUGUAGGUUGAUUUGUACAUUAAAAUUCUUCUUUGAUUAAAUUAAUAUGACAAUUUUUUUUUUUCUUAUUUAAAUUAAUUGAUUAAUUCAAGUAAGAAAAUAUGAAAAAAAUGUUGAACAAUUAAUAAUACUAUUAAAAUAAACUAAACU